GAAAUGCGAUAAGUAGUGUGAAUUGCAGAAUUCAGUGAAUCAUCGAAUCUUUGAACGCACCUUGCGCUCCUUGGUAUUCCUUGGAGCAUGUCUGUUUGAGUAUCAUGAAAUCUUCAAAGUAAAUCUUUUGUUAACUCAAUUGGUUUCUACUUUGGUAUUGGAGGUCUUUGCAGCUUCACACCUGCUCCUCUUUGUUCAUUAGCUGGAUCUCAGUGUUAUGCUUGGUUCCACUCGGCGUGAUAAGUUAUCUAUCGCUGAGGACACUGUAAAAGGUGGCCAAGGUAAAUGCAGAUGAACCGCUUCUAAUAGUCCAUUGACUUGGACAAUACUUUUAUGAUCUGAUCUCAAAUCAGGUAGGACUACCCGCUGAACUUAAGC
rnacentral:misc_RNA from 1 species